rnacentral:rRNA from 1 species
UAGGGAAUCUUCCGCAAUGGACGCAAGUCUGACGGAGCAACGCCGCGUGAGUGAAGAAGGAUUUCGGUUCGUAAAACUCUGUUGUUAGAGAAGAACAGCGCAUAGAGUAACUGUUAUGCGUGUGACGGUAUCUAACCAGAAAGCCACGGCUAACUACGUGCCAGCAGCCGCGGUAAUACGUAGGUGGCAAGCGUUGUCCGGAUUUAUUGGGCGUAAAGCGAGCGCAGGCGGUCAAUUAAGUCUGAUGUGAAAGCCCCCGGCUCAACCGGGGAGGGUCAUUGGAAACUGGUUGGCUUGAGUGCAGAAGAGGAGAGUGGAAUUCCAUGUGUAGCGGUGAAAUGCGUAGAUAUAUGUAGGAACACCAGUGGCGAAGGCGACUCUCUGGUCUGUAACUGACGCUGAGGUUCGAAAGCGUGGGUAGCAAACAGG